UACGUAGGGUGCAAGCGUUGCCCGGAUUUAUUGGGCGUAAAGGGCGCGUAGGCGGCUUGGCACGUCCGUUGUGAAAUCGCCCGGCUCAACUGGGCGGGGUCAGCGGAUACGGCCGAGCUUGAGCAAGCUAGGGGGCAAUGGAAUUCCCGGUGUAGUGGUGGAAUGCGUAGAUAUCGGGAGGAACACCAGUGGCGAAGGCGGCGCACUGGACCACAACUGACGCUGAGGCGCGAAAGCUAGGGGAGCAAACAGG
rnacentral:rRNA from 1 species